AUGAAGGAGCUCAAGUCUGUCGCGUACGAGGCUGACAACAUGCUUGAUAACUUCCAAUACGAGGCGCUGCGUCGCCAAUGUAAGGUUGGCGGGUCCACUACCUGCAAGGUGCUCAGCUACAUCACCCACCGCAGCCCGCUGCUCUUCCGUUUUGAGAUGAGCAAGAAACUCAAGAAAGUCCUUAAGAAGAUCAAUAAGUUGGUCGAGGAGAUGAACAACUUUGGCCUGGAGAAUUCUGUCCAUAGGGAGGAGCAGCAACAUCCUUGGCGGCAGACACACUCAAAACUGGAUGAGACUACCAAGAUCUUUGGAAGAGAUCAUGACAAGGAGUGGUUGGUGAAGCAGCUGCUGGACCAGCAAGGUCAGCGGAUGGUGCAAGUGCUGCCCAUCUUUGGGAUGGGAGGUCUUGGCAAGACAACUCUUGCUAAGAUGGUGUACAAUGAACAAGGGGUCCAGCAACAUUUUCAGUUGAAGAUGUGGCACUGCGUGUCUGACAACUUUGAUGCCAUUGCUCUCGUGAAAUCCAUCAUUGAGUUGGCCACAAAUGGAAGUUGCGACCUACCUGGCAGCAUCGAGCUAUUGCAAAAGCAACUUGAGAAAGUCAUUGGCCAAAAAAGGUUUCUGCUAGUGCUUGAUGAUGUGUGGAAUGAAGAUGAGAGGAAGCGGGAGGAUGUCCUGAAGCCUCUUUUGUGUUCUGUUGGUGGACCAGGAAGCAUAAUAGUCGUCACAACUCGAAGUCACAAAGUGGCCUCUAUAAUGCAUACCCUUCAACCCCAUAAGUUAGCAUGUCUGAGUAAACAAGAUUCAUGGGAAUUGUUUGCACAAAAAGCAUACAACAAUGGUGUAGAGCAAGAGCAAGCAGAGUUGGUCAGCAUUGGCAGACGUAUCGUCAACAAAUGCAGGGGGUUGCCUCUUUCUCUCAAAACAAUGGGUGGAUUGCUAAGUUCAUAUCAACAAGUACAAGAAUGGAAGGCCAUUGAGGAAAGUAAUAUUCGGGAUACUGCUAGAGGGAAAGAUGAAAUCAUGUCAAUCCUCAAAUUGAGCUACAGACAUCUAUCAUCUGAAAUGAAGCAAUGUUUUGCAUUCUUAGCAGUGUUCCCUAAGGACUAUAAGAUGGACAAGGAUGAGUUGAUACAAGUAUGGAUGGCGAAUGGUUUUAUUCUAGAGAAUGGAACAAUGGAUUUAACACAGAAAGGAGAAUUCAUUUUCAAUGAAUUGGUUUGGAGAUCCUUCCUCCAAGAUAAGCAGGAGUGCACACAUUAUUAUGGUGCAAACAGUUAUGUGACUAUUAGCUAUAAAAUGCAUGAUCUAAUGCAUGAUCUAGCAAAAGAUGUCACGGAUGAAUGUGCAAGUAUAGAAGAACUGACUCAGCAGAAAGCAUUCUUAAAAGAUGUCUCUCACAUGCAAUUGUCAAAGGCUGAACUGGAACAAAUCAGUGGGCUAUGCAAAGGC
rnacentral:rRNA from 1 species